rnacentral:tRNA from 1 species
GCAUGGCCAAGUGGUAUGGCAACGGUUUUUGAUCCCGUUAAUCGGAGGUUCGAAUCCUUCCAGUCCAUCAGAAACGA